GAGCGGGAGGAUCUUCCGCCGCUGGUGGAGCAAUUGAUGAGCAUCCCCGGGGUCCACGUCCUUGUCGUCGACGAUGCCUCGCCGGACGGCACCGGGGAGCUUGCCGACCGGCUGGCAUUGGCGUUUCCAGGCCGAAUGCAGGUGCUGCAUCGUCCUGGGAAAGGGGGAUUCGGCUCGGCCUAUGUCGCAGGCAUGCAGCAGGCGCUCCGCCAGAGCAGCGACUUGAUCGUCCAGAUGGACGCCGACCUCUCCCACGAGGUUCGUUUCCUGCCCGAAUUGAUCGCCGCAGCCGCCCGCGCAGACCUCGUGAUCGGAUCCCGUUAUGUCGCCGGUGGGGGUGUGGCGAGCUGGUCGACUUUAAGGCAACAGCUCAGCCGAUUCGCCAAUUUCUACGUUCGGA
rnacentral:misc_RNA from 1 species